rnacentral:sRNA from 1 species
CAGUGAUAGUUGUGAUGUUAUAUCUACAAGUUAUCAAUACUUGACAUUGUUGUAGAAUAGCGAUGUUUUACUUCAUUAUAAUAUAUAAAUUCAAUAUCUUCUACUUCUUUGAAGUAUUUUUUAGUUCGCUCUGCCACCUAUCUACUGACCUGCUUGAAUGAAUGAUAUCCACUGAUGAUAUAUCAAUGAUGAUAUCUAGCGAUGAUAUCUGUGAUGAUAAUGUUUAACAGCAACGUAAUGAAUAAUAUGGCUUCACACUUUCGCUCCGUCCUGCCCAGCUGCAUGUUUCAUGACGUUCCUGCUCUUGAGUGUUGUGCCUGAGCUUUCCAACACUUUGAAGAAAUUAAAGAUGCCUUCAUCCCCUGGGAUUUAGAGGUUCGUUUGCCCACCCCCGGAAGAGGGUUGCUACGGGCAGGCUGCCCCUGGUAUAUCUUUAUUGUUAUAGAGUUCUAAAAUCCUUCUUCAAAUUCCCGACCCAUUCCCAACAUAUUCAUUCCCCCCUCAUUUAUCCCAGAUCUUUUUAAUGAGUGAUCUAAUGAAGCUAAGUGCUGAGAUUAUUCAAUUAAUUACACAGUAUUCAGACUCUGAAAAGAACAUUUACUUCUUUACUCUGAUGUGAUCAUUGCAGCAAUGUGAGAAUACUCAACUUCGAUCCAAAACCGCCAAUCCCAAUCAAUCCAGUCAUUAAAUUGCAUUGCCAGAGUCUUAUCCCACUGUAGAAGAGGUGAAAUAUACUGACUGAGGAACAGAUUUGAUUUUGAUAGCAACUGGAUCAUCUCUUCUGCGACCGAAGGGAGCAUCAGUGAAGUCAAAGACAACAAGAUCUUGUCUUGGAUCAUCAAAGCCAGGCUUCUCCACCAUGGUGACAUCUCUAGGCCUU